rnacentral:rRNA from 1 species
CGGAUUGCAGUCUGAAACUCGAGUGCAUGAAGCUGGAAUCGCUAGUAAUCGCAAAUCAGAAUGUUGCGGUGAAUACGUUCCCGGGUCUUGUACACACCGCCCGUCACACCAUGGGAGUUGGAAAUGCCCGAAGUCAGUGACCCAACCAAAAGGAGGGAGCUGCCGAAGGCAGGUUCGAUGACUGGGGUGAAGUCGUAACAAGGUAGC